GGCAUUCAUCAUUUCUGCGUAUACCCACCUGACAUCUUUGAACUGCAAGUACCAAGUACUUGUCUGUGUGCUUUUUCUGGUGUCUGCUGCCCAUGUGACCUAUGCUGGGGAGUGAACACAUCUCUUCCAACCAACGAAGCGGCCCUCAACAGUUGGAUGGUCUGACUUAACUCUCCAGAGAAGUGCGCAAAUCCUGGCCUGUUUCCUGAGCAUUUUCUGAAACGGCGAGAGAGGAUGUUAAAAGGUGACUCCCAGGUGAGAAUCUCAGGAACUAUAAAGAGCCGUAAGGAGAGAGGCUGUUGAGCAGAGUUGGGGACAGAGAACGUCUCUGGAAUCCCUCACAGCAAACCAUAUGUGACUGAUCUCGGUGCCCACUACUGAGGCCUCUCACUGUUGUGGCCUCUCCCGCUGUGGAGCACAGGCUCCGGACGCGCAGGCUCAGCGGCCAUGGCUCACGGGCCCAGCCGCUCCGCGGCACGUGGGAUCUUCCCGGACCGGGGCACGAACCCGUGUCCCCUGCACCAACAGGCGGACUCUCAACCACUGUGCCACCAGGGAAGCCCUCAAUUUUCAGUUAAGAUAUCCUGCAACUGGCUGCCUGGCUUCAGAGAUUUUUUUCAACUUGAGACAAUUCAAGCCCCAACUGAGUAAUCCUCGAUGACCCAUUGUAUUGUUUGGCUAAAAUGUACAAGUAGCUUGCAGAGCUCAACCCUUUAGGCUUAACAUCUUCCCAGAUUAUGUGGAGAAUUGAAUGACAGAAAUCUGGACCUGAACGAAGACGGAGCUAUACUUUAUAUCACACACUGCUAUCUAAAGUACGCGGGCUUCUCACUGCUGUGGCCUCUCCCGUUGCGGAGCAUAGGCUCCAGAUGCGCAGGCUCAGCGGCCAUGGCUCACGGGUCCAGCUGCUCCGCGGCAUGUGGCAUCUUCCCGGACCGGGGCACGAACCCGUGUCCCCUGCAUCGGCAGGCGGACUCUCAACCGCUGAGCCACCAGAGAAGCCCUAUUUUCAGAAUGAUUGCAGAAGAGCAGAGAUGAGAAUGACUCAGAAUUAUAGCAGCUUGGAAAUUCUGAACAGAAGACAGUCUGACAAGGUAGAAAGAUUUUUUUGGACUCAUCCUAGUUGGAAUUUACUCUUCUUUUGGAUCAAUAGGUAAAGAAGGAUGUUACAUUGUUGCCUGGGGAGAUCGAUCCUGAGUAUCAAGGGGAAGUUGGAUUACUACUCCACAA